rnacentral:rRNA from 1 species
CAGUAGCCGCGGGAAUACAGAGGUCCCGAGCGUUGUUCGGAUUCACUGGGCGUAAAGGGUGUGUAGGAGGUUGGAUAAGUCAGGUGUGAAAUCCCGCAGCUCAACUGCGGAACUGCAUUCGAUACUGUUCAACUAGAGGAUCGGAGGGGGAAGCGGAAUUCUUGGUGUAGCGGUGAAAUGCGUAGAUAUCAAGAGGAACACCGGUGGCGAAGGCGGCUUCCUGGAAGAUACCUGACUCUGAAACACGAAAGCCAGGGGAGCGAAUGGGAUUAGAGACCCCGGUAGUCCCUGUCUCUUAUAA